rnacentral:rRNA from 1 species
AUGUAUCGAAAUCUGAUCUCGAGCUCCUGGAUAAUCCACUGGAUGGAGUCAAAGACAGACGUCCUAGCCCAAUCCUCAGCAUGCCCACAGAUCAAUUUGAAUUGCUUGUCGGCCUUUGCAACUAUAUCAUGUCCAUUGAUGAUGCCAAGUGUUUGCAAAUGGGACCGAAGCUCGACACCCCAUCCAAUGGGCUUAAGUCUCAAAAAAAUUCAAAGCAUACUUAACAUGAAGCAGUCUAUGGACAAUGAUUUUUCAACAUUGCUGUGCGUAUUCUGGCAUGUGACGAGGGAGUAUUGUUCACAGACCAUCCAAUACACUACAUGGAUCUACAAUUUUGUUCCAUGCUGUGGGAUUCAACACGAGAUCAAAAGUUUUUGCGAUAAGGAAACUAUUCAGAAGUUGGCAACUUUGUUUGAUAGCUGGCAUGGGAUAGACAACAACAUAUAUUAUCGUGCAACAUGGUAA